rnacentral:rRNA from 1 species
CCUACGGGCGGCUGCAGUGAGGAAUAUUGGUCAAUGGACGAAAGUCUGAACCAGCCAAGUAGCGUGCAGGAUGACUGCCCUAUGGGUUGUAAACUGCUUUUAUAUGGGAAUAAAAUGUUCCACGUGUGGGAUUCUGUAUGUACCAUACGAAUAAGGAUCGGCUAACUCCGUGCCAGCAGCCGCGGUAAUACGGAGGUGCCGAGCGUUAUCCGGAUUUAUUGGGUUUAAAGGGAGCGUAGGUGGGCCGGUAAGUCAGUUGGGAAAGUCGGGGGCUCAACCGUAGAAUUGCAGUUGAAACUGGCAGGCUUGAGUACAGUAGAGGUGGGCGGAAUUCGUGGUGUAGCGGUGAAAUGCUUAGAUAUCACGAAGAACUCCGAUUGCGAAGGCAGCCUACCGGCGUCCAACUGACGCUGAGGCACGAAAGCGUGGGUAUCAAACAGGAUUAGAUACCCUUGUAGUC